GGUGAACGCUGGCGGCGUGCUUAAGACAUGCAAGACGAACGGCAGUCUUCGGACUGUAGUGGCGCACGGGUGAGUAACGCGUAACUGACCUACCCCAAAGUCGCGGAUAACGAUUCGAAAGAAUCGCUAAUACGUGAUGUGCUGUCAGAUUGUGUUCUGCCAGUAAAGAUUGAUUGCUUUGGGAUGGGGUUGCGUUCCAUCAGCUAGUUGGUGGGGUAAAGGCCCACCAAGGCGACGACGGAUAGCCGGCCUGAGAGGGUGGCCGGCCACAGUGGCACUGAGACACGGGUCCCACUCCUACGGGAGGCAGCAGUUAGGAAUCUUCCACAAUGGGCGAAAGCCUGAUGGAGCGACGCCGCGUGAGGGAUGAAGGUCUUCGGAUCGUAAACCUCUGGAUCAGGGACGAAAGACACUUCGGUGGGAUGACGGUACCUGAGUAAUAGCACCGGCUAACUCCGUGCCAGCAGCCGCCGUAACAC
rnacentral:rRNA from 1 species